CCUACGGGAGGCAGCAGUGAGGAAUAUUGGUCAAUGGACGAGAGUCUGAACCAGCCAAGUAGCGUGAAGGAUGACUGCCCUAUGGGUUGUAAACUUCUUUUAUAUGGGAAUAAAAUGUUUCACGUGUGGGAUUUUGUAUGUACCAUAUGAAUAAGGAUCGGCUAACUCCGUGCCAGCAGCCGCGGUAAUACGGAGGAUCCGAGCGUUAUCCGGAUUUAUUGGGUUUAAAGGGAGCGUAGGUGGAUUGUUAAGUGAGUUGUGAAAGUUUGCGGCUCAACCGUGAAAUUGCAGUUGAAACUGGCAGUCUCGAGUGCGGGAGAGGUGUGCGGAAUUCGUGGUGUAGCGGUGAAAUGCUUAGAUAUCACGAAGAACUCCGAUUGCGAAGGCAGUUCACUGGACUGCAACUGACACUGAGGCUCGAAGGUGUGGGUAUCAAACAGGAUUAGAUACCCUAGUAGUC
rnacentral:rRNA from 1 species